rnacentral:tmRNA from 2 species
GGGUCCGACCGGUUUUGACAGUAUGCGCGUUAGAUCGGUAAGCACGUAGAGUUUUGUUGGAAACACUCUUUAAUCAGAACCUUCAACAAUUAUCUGGCGAGUCUAACUACGCCAUGGCUGCUUAAUCUAGGAUUAACCAACCAUUGCAUCGGGCAGAGCUCUGUUGUACAGCGCUGCUCAUAGAUGCACCGAAAAGGUACAACUUAAACUAAUGCUGUUGCAUAUUAGUUUAAUACUAGCAACUACGCACAGGUUUGGUUAGGGUAAAUACCUGGCCCGUGCCGACAACAAAUUUAUCCUAAACGUGUAGAAAGCUUUUUUAAUCCAUAUUUGGACGAGAGUUCGAAUCUCUCCGGAUCCACUC